rnacentral:lncRNA from 1 species
UUGUGUUUGACUCGAUCAACUAAAUGGUGUUUGAAGGUAGAUGGUAUAUAUUGUGGUAUCUAUUAGUGUUAGGUUAUGGUGACCCUGUAAAAUGUGUUUGGUGAUGAACUAGUCUCGCCUUUCUUGACAAAACUUCCGACUUAUGUAGCGUAACAAAGAGACCACUUGAAAGGCAGCUCCAAGAUGUUACUUAAUUCAUGUUUGAUCAUUUGAUCCACCUGACAAGU